rnacentral:pre_miRNA from 1 species
UAGGGGGACCAACCAUUCUGGUUUGCCUGAGACUGAAGUAUUCCCAGGACACGGAAUUUUCAGUUUUAAAACUGGAAAAAUUCCAGGCAAACUAGGAUGAGUUGGUCACCCUAACGCUAG